rnacentral:misc_RNA from 1 species
GAUGAAGAACGUAGCGAAAUGCGAUAAGUAAUGUGAAUUGCAGAAUUCAGUGAAUCUUCAAAUCUUUGAACGCACAUUGCGCCCGCUAGUAUUCUGGCGGGCAUGCCUGUUCGAGCGUCAUUUCAACCAUCAAGCCCUGUUUAGGCUUGUGUUGGGGCCCUGCGGCUGCCGCAGCCCCCUAAAUGCAGUGGCGGGCUCGUUGUCACUCCGAGCGCAGUAGCGUAUCUCGCUCUGGGCGUGGCGGCGGGUGCUAGCCGUGAAACACCCACUAAGGUUGACCUCGGAUCAGGUAGGAAUACCCGCUGAACUUAAGCAUAUCAAUAAGCGGAGGA